AACACCAAUAUAAUGACUACAAGAUUUAUGAUAUAGGUUAGAUCUACAUAUAUUGAUACUGCACUAUGUCAUAACAAUGUCAAUAUUCAAAAUAAAAUAACUUGCAAUCUACAAUAGUUUUAAUCAUAAAAACAAAGGAAACCAGAAUUUACAUAUCAUAUAUACAUGAAAGUACAUCAACAGUGUAGAAAACACAUACCAGCUCACGUUCUGUUGAUUGUUUGAAACCGUCACAGGGUUACCUUAAAAGAUGAAAAUCGAAUCCAAUACAAACGAGGGUUCUUUUGAAUCUGAGUGUCUUGGUUUACACAAACUUUUGUUGCGUGAUUUUUGUCGAACGGAAAUGGAGUUUUGACGGUUUCGUCAUCGAAUGUUGAAGGAUGUUUAAAUGAAAAUGGUUAAGAGGAAAGGAUCGUAGGCGAUUACCGGCCGGAGUAAGCACGGUGGCGAAGGGUGGUUGUCUUGAGUUGUUGGCGGAGUGUACAUGACGGUUUAUGGUGAGGUCGUUCGUGGUGGUAAGUAAGGUUGUGCGGGUGGUUGGAAAAAAUUCCGGCGGUUGCAGGUUGCAUGGUGAGGUUGAGAAUUAAACGGAGAGAAAGAUGGUGUUGUUUUUCAAAAUGAGAGUAAAGAGGAUACACUUUUGUUUCUCAUUUGGAAAUCCAAAUUUAAGUAUGAGAUAAAAUGAGAGGUGAAGAUGUAUGUUUCUUUUCACUUUUUUUUCAAUCGAUAUUUAAUUUAGAGAGAGAGGUUCAUGUAUGUAUUGUAUAGCAGAGGGAGUAUAAUUUAUGGUAGUGUAAAUGAAAGAAGAGGUUCAGUGAAAAUGGUGUCUUGUAUUCACGUUUUCGUCACCUCUCUUUUAUUUUUCAUUCAAAUUGAAAAUAAGAAAGAGAACAUGUUUGGAUAGGCGCCGCU
rnacentral:lncRNA from 1 species